rnacentral:lncRNA from 1 species
GCACAAUUAAUGAUUAGAUGUAUGCUAAAAUCAAAAUCAAAAUCCUUAUCACAUAAGGACUCCUGAUGACAUGGGGAAUCUAGAGUUUAACUAUGUGCUAGCAUAGUAUUCUAAAAUCCUUUAAGAUUUCAUAAAUCUUAAUCUAAUUAAGACUUCUUAAGCUAAUUUUAAGUUGUUGACCUAGUCCCUUUUAUAUGUGACCCUAUAGGUUCUAUUCUAUCUGAUAGUAACACAUAUUGUGAUCUCCAUC